AACUUGUAACGAUGGAUCUCUUGUCUCGUGCAUCGAUGACGAAUACAGCUGGCUGCAAUACAACAGCGAUCAAAAUCUAAAUUUUCCAGAGCUAAAUCCUUUGCAGACGACUUAAAUAAAGAACGGGGCAUUGUAAGGAGUAGAGUAU
rnacentral:rRNA from 1 species